AUGAACGCUAGCGGCAGGCCUAAUACAUGCAAGUCGAACGCUCAGUAGCAAUACUGGGAGUGGCGCACGGGUGCGUAACGCGUACACAAUCUACCUCUAAGCGGGGGACACCUCCUGGAAACGGGGAUUAAUACCGCAUAAUAUGCCGAGGUCGCAUGACUUUGGUAUUAAAGCAGCAAUGCACUUAGAGAUGAGUGUGCGUCCCAUUAGGUAGUUGGUGAGGUAACGGCUCACCAAGCCUAUGAUGGGUAGCCGGUCUGAGAGGAUGGUCGGCCACACGGGCACUGAGACACGGGCCCGACUCCUACGGGAGGCAGCAGUAAGGAAUAUUGGUCAAUGGUGGAAACACUGAACCAGCCAUGCCGCGUGGAGGAAUAAGGUACUACGGAUUGUAAACUCCUUUUGACGAGGAAGAAAGUGUUAGAUUUAUCUAAUUUUGACGGUACUCGUAGAAUAAGCACCGGCUAACUCCGUG
rnacentral:rRNA from 1 species